rnacentral:rRNA from 1 species
CACAUGCAAGUCGAGGGGCAGCAUGAACUUAGCUUGCUAAGUUUGAUGGCGACCGGCGCACGGGUGAGUAACACGUAUCCAACCUGCCGAUGACUCGGGGAUAGCCUUUCGAAAGAAAGAUUAAUACCCGAUGGCAUAGUUCUUCCGCAUGGUAGAACUAUUAAAGAAUUUCGGUCAUCGAUGGGGAUGCGUUCCAUUAGGUUGUUGGCGGGGUAACGGCCCACCAAGCCUUCGAUGGAUAGGGGUUCUGAGAGGAAGGUCCCCCACAUUGGAACUGAGACACGGUCCAAACUCCUACGGGAGGCAGCAGUGAGGAAUAUUGGUCAAUGGACGAGAGUCUGAACCAGCCAAGUAGCGUGAAGGAUGACUGCCCUAUGGGUUGUAAACUUCUUUUAUACGGGAAUAAAGUGAGGCACGUGUGCCUUUUUGUAUGUACCGUAUGAAUAAGGAUCGGCUAACUCCGUGCCAGCAGCCGCGGUAAUACGGAGGAUCCGAGCGUUAUCCGGAUUUAUUGGGUUUAAAGGGAGCGUAGGCGGACGCUUAAGUCAGUUGUGAAAGUUUGCGGCUCAACCGUAAAAUUGCAGUUGAUACUGGCGACCUUGAGUGCAACAGAGGUAGGCGGAAUUCGUGGUGUAGCGGUGAAAUGCUUAGAUAUCACGAAGAACUCCGAUUGCGAAGGCAGCUUACUGGAUUGUAACCGACGCUGAUGCUCGAAAGUGUGGGUAUCAAACAGGAUUAGAUACCCUGGUAGUCCACACAGUAAACGAUGAAUACUCGCUGUUGGCGAUAUACGGUCAGCGGCCAAGCGAAAGCAUUAAGUAUUCCACCUGGGGAGUACGCCGGCAACGGUGAAACUCAAAGGAAUUGACGGGGGCCCGCACAAGCGGAGGAACAUGUGGUUUAAUU